ACACAUGCAAGUCGAACGAGAGAGAAGGAGCUUGCUUCUUCGAUCGAGUGGCGAACGGGUGAGUAACGCGUGAGGAACCUGCCUCAAAGAGGGGGACAACAGUUGGAAACGACUGCUAAUAACGCAUAAGCCCACGGGUCGGCAUCGACCUGAGGGAAAAGGAGCAAUCCGCUUUGAGAUGGCCUCGCGUCCGAUUAGCUAGUUGGUGAGGUAAUGGCCCACCAAGGCGACGAUCGGUAGCCGGACUGAGAGGUUGAACGGCCACAUUGGGACUGAGACACGGCCCAGACUCCUACGGGAGGCAGCAGUGGGGAAUAUUGCACAAUGGGGGAAACCCUGAUGCAGCGACGCCGCGUGGAGGAAGAAGGUCUUCGGAUUGUAAACUCCUGUUGUUGAGGAAGAUAAUGACGGUACUCAACAAGGAAGUGACGGCUAACUACGUGCCAGCAGCCGCGGUAAAACGUAGGUCACAAGCGUUGUCCGGAAUUACUGGGUGUAAAGGGAGCGCAGGCGGGAAGACAAGUUGGAAGUGAAAUCUAUGGGCUCAACCCAUAAACUGCUUUCAAAACUGUUUUUCUUGAGUAGUGCAGAGGUAGGCGGAAUUCCCGGUGUAGCGGUGGAAUGCGUAGAUAUCGGGAGGAACACCAGUGGCGAAGGCGGCCUACUGGGCACCAACUGACGCUGAGGCUCGAAAGUGUGGGUAGCAAACAGGAUUAGAUACCCUGGUAGUCCACACCGUAAACGAUGAUUACUAGGUGUUGGAGGAUUGACCCCUUCAGUGCCGCAGUUAACACAAUAAGUAAUCCACCUGGGGAGUACGACCGCAAGGUUGAAACUCAAAGGAAUUGACGGGGGCCCGCACAAGCAGUGGAGUAUGUGGUUUAAUUCGACGCA
rnacentral:rRNA from 1 species